rnacentral:rRNA from 1 species
CACGUAGGGCGCAAGCGUUGUCCGGAAUUAUUGGGCGUAAAGAGCUCGUAGGCGGUCUGUUGCGUCCGCUGUGAAAACUCGGGGCUUAACCCCGAGCCUGCAGUGUAUACGGGCAGACUAGAGGUAGGUAGGGGAGAAUGGAAUUCCCGGUGUAGCGGUGAAAUGCGCAGAUAUCGGGAGGAACACCGGUGGCGAAGGCGGUUCUCUGGGCCUUACCUGACGCUGAGGAGCGAAAGCGUGGGGAGCGAACAGG